CUUUCUUUCACACCGUUCCAUUUUUCUCCCUUGUCUCUUUGUUCAUCAAGCCCUGCUCUGGUCCCUCUUCUUCGAUAGUAUAGAUCGAUAAAAUAUUGUGAUACACUUACCGUUGAUUAAUCUUUCUUGAAAAAGGUCCGGUUGAAAAGGAAGUCUGAGGGGUUUUUGUGGGUUGGUUUUGAUAGUUGAACCCAUUUGAUUUACUGGGAGAUGACGACACUGAAGACCUAUCACAGUUGAUUGCUGCUCAGAAGGUUCCUAUGGCCGCAGCUAAGAAAACCCCAGCUCCUGCAGCUGCUAGGCAGCAGCAAUCCAAGCCGGCGGCUAAGUUUCCUUCGAAGCCGCUCCCCCCAGCUCAAGCUGGUCACUUGUUAUUUGAAUGAACUAAAUCACUCAUUGUUGUAUGCCCUUGGAGCUGACCUUCUAUUCGAUGUAUCAGAAGAUUCAGAUUAUGUCCGAAGUAUUCUAGCUCAUUGUUCUUCUCAGCUUCUUCUCGCUCUCUCUGUCUCUGGUUCUUGCCGAGAAGAAAAAUGGCGUUUGGAGCCAGGAACGAGCAGGAAGUUAGAGAAAUCGUGAAGCCUCGCACCAACAAAAGAGACUACUGAAGAAUCGUUCUUCACAACGCUCUCGAGGUCCUCCUCAUCAGCUAUCCAGAAACUGAUAAGUGCGCAGCGUCGAUGAAUGUUGGAGUAGGUUCUUUUAGUGAUCCAGAAGGUCUUGAAGGCCUCGCGCAUUUUCUUGGUCUAUGCAGCUACUACUGUCUUUCUUGUACCAUUUUUGGAGAGGAAAGGAAAUUUCCUGAGAGGAAUAGGAUGUGGAAGAGUAAAUAAACAGAACCCAGUGAGUUUGGGAGAACGAAGUAGCUUGCUCCAAGCCUGUACAUCUACUUUUGAGAAGAUGGUUUGGACUUAUAAACCCAAGAUGUAGACAGAAGCUUGAACUAGCUGCAUUAACAAGAAGCAUUAAUGAGAUGUGAUGUUCAUUUCUAUCAGCCAGCUCAUUUCUUUGGAGAAGUAGUUGUUACUGAUGAAAAAAAGCAAUUUGAUAGCUUUAAAUUGAAUGCUUCCAAAAUUUUGGUGUGAUUUUCUGAGUAUAUAAUCUGUUUCUUAGUGAGAGUUGAAUUCUGAUAAUCAGCGCAUGAGACACUUUUUUGCUGAUACCAUGGUGACAUUUGCAUAGAUGCAUCAAUCUACGUGUGUGUGUAUGCAUAUUAUAUAUGUAUAUGUGUAUUUAUACACAUAUGCAUACAUAUCAUGUAUAGGAAAAGAUGCAAAAACAAAGUGAGCGUGUGCAUAGAUAUGUAUAGGAAAUGGAAUGUAAUGUUCUGGGUGUAGCUUAUUCACCUCUGCUUAUAUGCUCAUAUUGUCAUACAUGCAUUAAGGUUAAAUUUUGGUACUAAUUGCAAGGGAAUAUCUUUGAAACUCUGAAUUUGCCAGGUACAGUUAAAAGCUAUAUGAUUUGCAUCCGUGGUGUAUUUGAGAUUUUUGAGGGCCAAUUUUCUGUUAUAUUUUAAAAUUUCUUUGUUGUUACUAGCAAUAAAAGAUGUUUGAUAUUCCAAAUUCUGCAAACAACCUGCUAUAUUGUUGAAUAAUGUUACAGAUAGAAGUGUUGAAUUCUAGAGGGGCAACGCUCUCUUUUGUUCUGUACUUUAGUUGCUGCCUCUGAUGCUAAGCGGAUUUUGUUCUGAUUUUAGGCUUCUGAAGAGCUUAGCUUUU